rnacentral:lncRNA from 12 species
UCCUCCUCUUCCUCCUCCGCCUCCUCUGCCCGCAGCCUCCAGCCUCUCCUCCUCCGCAGCCUCUAGCCUCCUUGUCCACAGCCUCUGGCCUCCUCCUCCUCAUCCGCCUGCAGCCUCCGCCUCUGCCUCCUCCGCCCGCCCGUCCGCAGCCUUCGGCCUCCUCCUCCUCAUCCGCCCGCAGUGCAGCCUCCGGCCUCCUCGAGCCUCCCGGCCUGGCCUUUGCUGACGUCCCAGGUGCUAACUGCUCCCGUUCCUCCGACCCGACCCGUGUCCUGCCAACCAUGGUCAGCGCCCGGGUGUUCGUCCACUGGGAGGUAUGCACACCUGCCCGUCUCCCCCGCCCCCUUCAUGGCUGGGAUGUGUGCUUUCCCCCAAAAGAAGCAUCUGGUCGUCCACUGUCGGUUUCUGGGACGGGCAGCUUGAGGUGAUGGACGCACAGGGGACACGCUUGAUUCUCUCCCUUUAUUCACCUACUUUCAGAAUGAUGGGUUGGUUUUCUUGCAUCGCCCACUGAUUUCAGAGAGGUUCCCCCGUCGUUCUGAACUCAUGAAUUUGGGCGUGUUUGAUGUGUUUCCAUUUGCGGCAGGUACAGCCUGUAUUAAUUUAAUAAGUUGUCCUGUGUUUGGCUUGUGGGAGCCUCCUCAGCUGGACCCCCUGGUCCUCUGAGUGUCUGGGUGUCUGACU